rnacentral:rRNA from 1 species
UACGGAGGGUGCAAGCGUUGUUCGGAAUUACUGGGCGUAAAGGGCGCGUAGGUGGUUGUGUAAGUCAGAUGUGAAAUCCCUCGGCUCAACCGAGGAACUGCAUUUGAUACUGCAUGACUAGAGUACGGAAGAGGGAAACGGAAUUCCUGGUGUAGAGGUGAAAUUCGUAGAUAUCAGGAGGAACACCGGUGGCGAAGGCGGUUUCCUGGUCCGAUACUGACACUGAGGCGCGAAAGCGUGGGUAG